UCCCUACUAUGUGCGUUUAUGUUUUGUGAAGUGCUGUUUAAACAUGCUUGUAUCUGUGACUAUUCAGUGGUGAAAAGACAAGCAGUCUCCCUAUCAUAUCCCUUCCCGGCUCGAGGCACCCCGCAGUAUUUGUCAUUGUACCACACACACAACAGCGGGGCACUUGACAUAAAUAAGUAGCCGGAUAAUUAGUCCUGUCUUCCUCACAUGCCUCAACAGGAUUAACCCCUUGCUUGCCAAACUGGGACUGGGGAGCAAAGGGUUAAACCUCAUCAAGGUAUGGGGCAAGAAGGGACUAAUUACCUGCGGUGUUGUUCGAUCGUGUCUCCAGCUGUGUUCAGCGCAUCUUGUGACAUAAGAUUUGCAAUGUAUGACGUAGUGUUUUGCACUCUUGUUCAUGACUGAAUUUUCCAGACAGAGCUCCGGAUGUUUCUAGGGCAAGGAUGGAUUUUGGAUGCGUGCAUUAGUUCAGUGUAAACCUUGCUGAGCUAGAAAUGUUUUACGUGCAUGAUUUACAUAUUGUUUUAUUCAUGCCUGGAGUUUGCUGUUGUUUCGACAUUAAAAGGUGCUUGUAAUAUGAAAACUUGGAGUAAACUUAAAGUUUGGAGUAUGUAAUACGAUUUUUUUUGUAUAUUUUUAAAAUAAAGAUUCUAAUUUUUAAAAA